CUGCUCUCUUGCCCACUCCCUUUUGAAAAGUUAUCAUAAGAAUAGGCUGUUCCUGUUUGAGUUAAAUUUUGACUUGAUGUCUCUGUAAUCAACCACCUGUAGCAGCUUCCUUGUUUUUAAUGGAUUGAGUUGGAGUUCUGUUGUCAUUUCUCUGUAGUUUAUCUGAUAUACUGCUUUUUCUUUCACAGAGGAGAAGAAAAAACUGGUUCGAGAAUUUGACGAUAAACAGCGCGAAGCCAAUGAGACGCUGCGUGAAAUGGAGGAAGAACUGAAGUAUGCUCCCCUGCCUUUCCGCAACCAAAUGAUGAGCAAAAUCCGAGCGUACAGAAGAGACCUGUCCAUGUUCCAGAGGGAGAUGAGAAGCACAGAUUUGGGAGUGGGCCAUGGAAGUCAAGGCGAUAUAAAAUAUGGAAUCUUCUCCACAGAAAACGAACAAAGUACUAAUCUGCAGUCACAGAGGGUGCUGCUUCUCCAGGGAACAGACAGUCUGAACCGAGCCAGUCAGAGCAUUGAGCGCUCGCACCGGAUUGCUGCUGAAACAGAUCAGAUCGGCACCGAUAUAAUCGAAGAACUUGGGGAGCAGCGGGAGCAGCUGGAACGCACCAAGAGCAGAUUGGUGAAUACAAGUGAGAACUUGAGCAAGAGUCGCAAGAUUCUACGUUCAAUGUCCCGGAGAGUAACCACUAAUAAGUUGUUGCUGUCAAUUAUCAUCAUCCUGGAACUGGCCAUCCUAGGAGGUGUGGUCUACUACAGAUUCUUCCGCAGCAGAUGAAUCUUCAUGAUGGAGAUGAACUUUUCCACUGUUGAGGAACAGGAUGGGCUGUCUGUUCCCUUUGAUUGUCUGAGGAUUGAACUGAGUGGUGAGACAGCACAUUCACCAGAAACUGUACUGACACUAAAAAGACAGAGAAUGGGAGUAAAAGGAAAAUGCAGAGACAGACUUGAACUACCGAAAGCCAGGGUGAAAGGCUGAACCACUGAUGUGCAUGGCAUCUAGGAUGGAGGAAGCACCAAGCUUGAGGAUUUCACUAACAGCUCAGCAAGAUGAGCAUUUUUCAGGUCCAUAGUUGAAGACUGCCUCCAAACUAUACCAUGUAGCCUAGUUGAUGAAGAAAUAAAGGAUAAUUUUUAACCUAAAA